CGGGAUAGAGCUUGUAGUAAGCUCCAUAUUUACACUAUGGCGAAACCAAUUCAUAUGGUUGUCUCGA
rnacentral:tRNA from 1 species